rnacentral:tRNA from 12 species
CGCGGGGUGGAGCAGUCUGGUAGCUCGUCGGGCUCAUAACCCGAAGGUCGGCGGUUCAAAUCCGUCCCCCGCAACCA